GUGCUCGCUUCAGCAGCACAUACGCUAAAAUGGGAACGUACAGAAAAGAUUAGCGUGGCCCCUGCGCAAGGAUGACAUGCAGAUUUGUGAAUUGUUCCAGAUUAAA
ensembl:snRNA U6 U6 spliceosomal RNA